rnacentral:rRNA from 2 species
GUAAUAGUUAUGUUCUUGAAACUUAAAAAAUUUGGCGGUAUUUUAGUCUAUUCAGAGGAAUUUGUUCUAUAAUUGAUAAUCCACGUUGGACCUUACUUAAGUUUGUAAAACAGUUUAUAUACCGUUGUUAUCAGAAUAUUUUAAAAGAAUAAUAAUUUUCAAUAAUUUUAAUUAAAAUUUAUUUCAAAUCAAGGUGUAGCUUAUAUUUAAGUAGAAAUGAAUUACAAUAAAUUUAUUUAUAUGGAUAUAAAUUUGAAAAAAAUUAUUGAAAGUGGAUUUGAUAGUAAAAUUAUAAAGAU